AGACUUAAUGUGACGUGGACCUCUGAAGAAUUUAAGAAGAGGAGCAAUGCUGCAAAGGCUGUCCGAGCCUCCAAUACGGGUGGCUCAUUGCAUACUGGGGGUUCAGUUAGUAUGGAGACCCAUCGAAGGAGAAUGGAAAAGGAAAAAAGGAGACUUGUGACUUAUGCUGAGGUUUUUGAGGACAAACAUAU